CCUUUCUACAACGUGGAGAAGAAGCUGGACCUUAUGUCUGCACCUGCAUAUUCCUACAACUUGUCAGAGUCCUUUGGGCAGUGACUGAGGAGAUAAACCAUGCAGGAAACAACG
ensembl:snoRNA SNORA73 Small nucleolar RNA SNORA73 family